rnacentral:tRNA from 1 species
UCCCUGGUGGCUCAGAGGUAAAGCAUCUGUCUACAAUGCGGGAGACCCGGGUUCGAGCCCUGGUUUGGGAA